GAUGAACGCUGGCGGCGUGCCUAAUACAUGCAGGUCGAGCGAACGGACGAGAAGCUUGCUUCUCUGAUGUUAGCGGCGGACGGGUGAGUAACACGUGGAUAACCUACCUAUAAGACUGGGAUAACUUCGGGAAACCGUAGCUAAUACCGGAUAAUAUUUUGAACCGCAUGGUUCAAAAGUGAAAGACGGUCUUGCUGUCACUUAUAGAUGGAUCCGCGCUGCAUUAGCUAGUUGGUAAGGUAACGGCUUACCAAGGCAACGAUGCAUAGCCGACCUGAGAGGGUGAUCGGCCACACUGGAACUGAGACACGGUCCAGACUCCUACGGGAGGCAGCAGUAGGGAAUCUUCCGCAAUGGGCGAAAGCCUGACGGAGCAACGCCGCGUGAGUGAUGAAGGUCUUCGGAUCGUAAAACCCUGUUAUUAGGGAAGAACAUAUGUGUAAGUAACUGUGCACAUCUUGACGGUACCUAAUCAGAAAGCCACGGCUAACUACGUG
rnacentral:rRNA from 1 species